CCUUCGAACCAACAAAUUCAAUUUCGCAAUCUCUCGCGCCUGAUCUAAACCCUCAGAACAAAAACUCGAUUUCAAAUACCAAGCGGCUACGUUUUGGGUACUGGAAUUCGCGCGAGUUGUUUCCGGCCGGACGCAAGUGCACCGUCUCACCUCUCAAAGGCCGAUCUUUCUCAAAACCGCCGUUAGAGCUUCAAACCCGAGCGCUGCCGCCAAGUCUUCUUCUCCGGGACUCUACUCCGCCAGGCAGUACGAACUCACGAUUCCCAACGUCGACUUGGUUCUAGAGGACGUCCGCCCCUAUCUCAUGGCCGAUGACGGUAACGUCGAUGUUGUCUCCAUUGAAGACGGUGUCGUUUCACUCAAGCUGGAAGUGUGAGAAAAUGACUUCAAAAUUGGAUUUUUCAAUGUCUGGGCAAAGAAAAACAGGAAAAGAACACCAAUGGUGGUGAUGAUGGAGAAACCCUUCUUUGCAGUGGAAAUCAACGGUCCAUGCGUCAGCAUUCAGCCCAGUUUAUAAGAGUAGGGGUCAAAGUGAAAACCAGUGACAUGGGGAUUUGUUUAAUUUUGUCAAGUUUUGUAUUGAGGUAAAACUCCUCUCAUAUAACAUAGUUUUAAAUACUGAUUAGUAUAUCUGUAAAGAGGAUUGUGAGUAUGGUUGUAUAUAUGAAGUAGUAGAAUUGGAAACAUUGUUGUAAACCCGCAUCAUCGCGCGGCUUUUUUGCUUGUGUUUUCUAGAGAGUAAUUAAUUUGACGAU